UGGAACUCUCUCCAUAGUCCAGAGCAUGUUUGCAAUUUGGUAUCUGGUUCUGCCCCUUCAAAAUUCAGCUUGCACUUCUGGGACUAAACAACAACAGGACGUGGGGUUUCUGCAGGAAUCUCUCUAGGAAUAAUGUACCUUCGUUCUCCUUACACCAGCCUAGGUGCAUUCUGAUUGCAUUAUUUCCUAUACCUGGAAAUCUGAAAACUCACUGAUUCCAUCUGAAGUCCAUUUUGUCGUUGCUUCGACAAAGAUCAGCAGUUGGAUUCUCUCCAGAGAUCUUAGUGAAUUUCCAGCUUCUUCAGCGCCUGCCGGCUGUUGUGCUCCUCCUUCGCCCAGGAAGUCUCUGAGCCUGGGGUCACCGAAGGGCAUCUCAUUCCACCCGAUUUUCAUAUAAUUUUCAUCAGCAACGAUUGGGUUCCAGGGGUCUGUUGCUGUCAGCAAUAAAAUGUACUUUCUAUUUCUUCAA